UACGGAGGAUGCGAACGUUAUCCGGAUUUAUUGGGUUUAAAGGGUGCGUAGGCGGGCUUUUAAGUCAGCGGUAAAAAUUCGGGGCUCAACCCCGUCCGGCCGUUGAAACUGGGGGUCUUGAGUGGGCGAGAAGAAGGCGGAAUGCGUGGUGUAGCGGUGAAAUGCAUAGAUAUCACGCAGAACCCCGAUUGCGAAGGCAGCCUUCCGGCGCCCUACUGACGCUGAGGCACGAAAGUGCGGGGAUCGAACAGG
rnacentral:rRNA from 1 species